rnacentral:rRNA from 1 species
UACGUAGGGGGCAAGCGUUGUCCGGAAUCAUUGGGCGUAAAGCGCGUGUAGGCGGUUCAGUAAGUCUGCUGUGAAAGUCCAGGGCUCAACCCUGGGAUGCCGGUGGAUACUGCUGGACUAGAGUGCGGAAGAGGCGAGUGGAAUUCCCGGUGUAGCGGUGAAAUGCGCAGAUAUCGGGAGGAACACCAAUUGCGAAGGCAGCUCGCUGGGACGUUACUGACGCUGAGGAGCGAAAGCGUGGGGAGCGAACAGG